UUUGCUACAUUUAAGUUGUAAAUAAAAAGUAAUUCUUUUCAAUUUUUUACAGCCAUGAAAGACUUUAAUUCGCAUACUCCCCUUCCCUCCCCCCCACACACUACAUCUUCUGAAGUAAUUGCCUCUGAAGCUCAUUGAUAUAAAUACAUUUAUACGAAAUGGAUAUUUCUAUUUUAAAAAGAUAAACCAAUAUUUACACACAGCCCACGCCCGCGGACCAGAACGGGGAGAGUGACUUUCGACAAUGCUACAGGAGAGGGGAAGCUUUGUCCCGGAAUCCACUUCUUCAGGACAACAUUCCAAGCUGAGAGAAGAAAGUGCUUGUGGGUCCGUUUGAUAAUUAAGGCAGCGAAAUGCCAGCAACGAAGAUGCAAUAAGUUGUGGCACUGAGUAUGUAACUGUGAUAUUGUCUUAUAUCAGAAACUCAGUUUGAAGCUUACAGGACUUGUCCUGAGGUAAGCCUCUGGCUUGUCACUUAUGAAGUAACAACAAAACAUUCAGAGUCUAGGAGAGCUCUUCCAACACUGAAGCAGAAAGCAGAUGAGUUAACCCUCCAUUCCCCAUCUGGAAAUCUCAUCAAGGCAUGCACAGCAAGGUCUUAUGGAAUAAUUAAUGAAAAUGAAACUGCAACUUCUUACUUUUGGGCAAACUUCUGGUCAGCUGGAAGGCCUAUUGUCUCCAACCCUCACAUCCUCUUCAAGUUGUACUGCUGAUGGUCCAGGAUGAAGUAGAUUGGAUCUCAAAUUUAAUCCAACAUCAUGCCGAUUCUGCCAGUGAUGCCACUUUAGGCAAAUUAUUUUAUUAACUGCAAUCUAUGUUUGCAUUCUCUGCUUGAGUUAACAGAGAGUGAGUACAUUACCAGUUAGCUACUAGUGAACCUAUUAUGUCCACACUGACUCUAUGUAAAUGGACGGAAUGCAUUGUAAACAGUUUGUAAAAAUUGGGAUAAAAACAGACUCUUCUCUUCA